GACGAACGCUGGCGGCGUGCUUGACACAUGCAAGUCGAACGGAAAGGCCUGCUUUCCCUUGUGGAUUGCGGGUACUCGAGUGGCGAACGGGUGAGUAACACGUGAGUGAUCUGCCCCCAACUUGGGUAUAAGCCUGGGAAACUGGGUCUAAUUCCCGAUAGGACUGCAGGGUGGUGCCUGUGGUGGAAAACGAUUUUCUAGUGGUUGGGGAUGAGCUCGCGGCCUAUCAGCUUGUUGGGGGGGUAAUGGCCUACCAAGGCGGCGACGGGUAGCCGGCCUGAGAGGGUGGACGGCCACAUUGGGACUGAGAUACGGCCCAGACUCCUACGGGAGGCAGCAGUGGGGAAUAUUGCACAAUGGGCGGAAGCCUGAUGCAGCGACGCCGCGUGGGGGAUGACGGCCUUCGGGUUGUAAACUCCUUUCGACCGCGAGGAAGCCACCUGGUUGGAAGGGUGGUGACGGUAGUGGUAGAAGAAGCACCGGCUAACUACGUG
rnacentral:rRNA from 1 species